UACGUAGGCAGCAAGCGUUGUUCGGAAUUACUGGGCGUAAAGGGCGCGUAGGCGGCCUGCUAAGUCAUACGUGAAAUCCCUCGGCUCAACCGAGGAACUGCGUCUGAUACUGGUUGGCUUGAAUUCGGGAGAGGGAUGCGGAAUUCCAGGUGUAGCGGUGAAAUGCGCAGAUAUCAGGAGGAACACCGGUGGCGAAGGCGGGUCUCUGGGCCGAUACUGACGCUGGAGGAGCGAAAGCGUGGGGAGCGAACAGG
rnacentral:rRNA from 1 species